AGAGUUUGAUCCUGGCUCAGAACGAACGCUGGCGGCGUGCUUAACACAUGCAAGUAGAGUGCGCGGUUGUAGCAAUACAACUGGCGCACGGCGCACGGGUGCGUAACACGUGGGUAACCUGCCCUUUGGUGGGGAAUAACUCCGCGAAAGCGGAGCUAAUUCCGCAUAAGAUCCGCAAGGAUGAAAGCCGCAAGGCGCCGAAGGAGGGGCCCGCGCCCGAUUAGCUAGUUGGUGAGGUAAUGGCUCACCAAGGCUUUGAUCGGUAGCUGGUCUGAGAGGAUGAUCAGCCACACUGGAACUGAGACACGGUCCAGACUCCUACGGGAGGCAGCAGUGGGGAAUCUUGCACAAUGGGCGAAAGCCUGAUGCAGCGACGCCGCGUGGGGGAUGAAGCAUUUCGGUGUGUAAACCCCUUUCGAUCCGGACGAAACCCCGCAAGGGAUGACGGUACGGAUAUGAGAAGCCCCGGA
rnacentral:rRNA from 1 species